GCUCAGGAUGAACGCUGGCGGCGUGCCUAACACAUGCAAGUCGAGCGAAGCACUUUGCUUAGAUUCUUCGGAUGAAGAGGAUUGUGACUGAGCGGCGGACGGGUGAGUAACGCGUAGGUAACCUGCCUCAUACAGGGGGAUAACAGUUAGAAAUGACUGCUAAUACCGCAUAAGACCACAGCACCGCAUGGUGCGGGGGUAAAAACUCCGGCGGUAUGAGAUGGACCCGCGUCUGAUUAGCUAGUUGGUAAGGUAACGGCUUACCAAGGCGACGAUCAGUAGCCGACCUGAGAGGGUGACCGGCCACAUUGGGACUGAGACACGGCCCAAACUCCUACGGGAGGCAGCAGUA
rnacentral:rRNA from 1 species